rnacentral:misc_RNA from 1 species
UUCUAUUAAAAAUCGUUUAAAAAUAAACUCGUAUUCCGCAUAAUGUUUUUUUUUAAUUCGAACGUGACAUUAUUCAGGUUUCAAAACACAAAAAAUUAACUUAUAUAUGUAUUUACAAUAUUUGUAGACUACCAUACAAAAUGUAUAAAAAACCAUUAUUUUCAUGAAUUGGAUUUUAAAAUGAACUCAGUUUUAUCAUUGUCGAAUUCUUUUGGACGCAGUUUCGAUGAAUUCAAGCAGAUACAAAUAAAAAAAAGUGAAGAAAUUCUUCAUAAAAAAACAUACAAUGAAACAAUAUAUACUGAAAAGAAAACUGUGAACAAACAUAUAUUAAGGACUUUUUUUGAAGGUGUAACAGUAGAGCCUGUUACCUUUUGCUACGCAUGCGCUUUAAUUCUUCAUGCCCCACUAAUACAACAAUACAUAUACCAACGCAUUAGCGAGGACUAUCAAAUGUCUGGCAAAAUUAAAGAUGAUGUCAGUGGUUGUGAAUUAUCGGCUAUUGAAAACGAUAACGCCACGUAUGAAAUACGGAAAAAUGUGCAAUCAUUAACAUCGUAUGUUCAUCUUGGAAUUAUACUUUCUGCUGCUUUACCAUCGUUAUUCAUGGCAUUAUUAUUAGGAACAUGGUCAGAUAAAGUUGGCCGUCGAAUAGUGUUAUUUCUUCCUGUUCUUGGUGGGCUUUUAGACUGUAUUUGCAUCCUUAUAACAAUGUUUACACGAGCGCCACUUUUUGUGUUAUUUAUUGGAAGUUUUAUAAAUGGAUUAGGAGGUUUUUUCACCACAAUGAUUUUAGCGGUAUUUUCAUAUAUAGCUGAUAUCACAGAUGAAGAUAACAGAGCAAUGAGACUUGGAGUUCUUGAAGCAGUAGCUUUUACAAGUGGAAUGAUCAGUCACAUGACAAGUGGUUGGUGGAUACAUCAUCUUGGUUUUAAGGCGCCUUACAUUUUUAUAUUUGCUCUUCAUUCCGUAGGGUUGGUUUACAUUAUUUUUGUUUUACCUGAAUCAAGUAGCGUAACAGAAAAACUGCAUCUCAAAGAUUUGUUUUGCAGAGCUCAUUUUAAAAAAGUAAUCAACUUAUUUACCAAAGCAGACUCAAGAUAUAAAUGGCAGCUCUAUGGGUUAGCUGUAACAUCAGCACUAAUGAUGAUAUCAUCAAUUGGUUUUGGAAGCGUAAUUGUUUUAUUUGCUUUAGAUGCUCCGUUUUGCUUUUCACCUAUCAUGAUCGGGUAUUUUUUAGCUGAUUGCAUGUUUAUGCAAGCUCUGGGUGCAGUGUUUUCAUUAAUGCUGCUACGUAAAUGUUUUUCUGAGAUUUUUUUGACACAGCUUGGAAUUGCCUCAAUUAUAGCAUCACUUGUGAUGAUUGCUCUUAUAACAAAAAGGUGGCAAAUGUUUCUUGUGCCGUUAGCCGGUUGUUUUGGUGGGGUAUGCAUGCCUGUAAUAAGAGCAAGAAUGUCAAAGUUGGUUGAUAACAGUGAACAAGGAAAACAAACUAUCUGGUUUUAAAGAUGCUGUUAUCAAAGCGAAAGAUUAGUCAGAAGAACUACAAAUGAAGCCUGUUUUCAAACCUUUAAAAAGGAUAAAACAAACUAAGCUCUAACAUCAGUGAAAGACACAGCUAGAUGGCUAUUCGAAAAUCUGGAAUUUCUUGAAUAAUGUUGACAAAACCUCUUGUAUAAUUAUGACAAAAACUAUUUUUCAAAAACAAAACUCACUGUGAGUUCAAAGUCUGGUAUAAUCAAUCACAAAGCAAUAUAUCAGAAUACUAUAUUACAGAUUAGAAUAGUAUUGUGGUCUGUGAUUAGUUAAAUUUUCAAUAGUAUUCUGGUCUGUGAUUAGUUAAAUUUUCAGAUAUAGUCAGGGAUAAAAUUAUUAUUUUUUUAAACUAUUAUAAAGCAGCAUAAAGUGGAAGAUUUUUAACUUUUUAAACUGAAAUUAGUUUUAACUUCAUUGUGGUCAACAUCAUUGCAUGACUAUUUUAUUUUUGAACUUUAUAGUUGAAAGUGAUUUCUCAAAACAUUUUUCGAUUUUUCUGCUCUUAUCAAAGCUAUUACUAAUGAAAAUUACCCAUAACUUACUUGGAUACUUAGUAUUCCAUAAAUUUAGUUUCCUAAAACCGAAUAAGCAUUAAUUUAAACUAAAUUCUAAUAUAUUUUAUAAAGCAAACGCGACAAGCCAUAGUGUAACUUAUGUAAUAAUUACAUCAAAAAUUUGACAAA